rnacentral:rRNA from 1 species
GACGAACGCUGGCGGCGUGCCUAACACAUGCAAGUCGAACGAACAGACCAGGAGUUUGCUCCUCUGACGUUAGCGGAGGACGGGAGCGUCACAUGUGGAUAACCUACCUAUCAGACUGGGAUAAUUUCGGGAAACCGGAUCUUAUACCGGAUGAUAUAUUGCACCGUGGUGGGCACUAGUGAGAGACGGUUUUUGUGUGACUUAUAGCUGGAUCCGCGCCGCAUUCGCUAGUUGGUAAGGUAACGGCUUAGCAAGGCUACGAUGCGUAGCCGGCCUGAGAGGGUGAUCGCCCACCCGGGAACUGAGACACGGUCCAGACUCCUACGGGAGGCAGCAGUAGGGAAUCUUCCGCAAUGGGCGAGAGCCUGACGGAGCAACGCCGCGUGAGUGAUGAAGGUCUUCGGAUCGUAAAGCUCUGUUAUUAGUGAAGAACAAAUGUGUAAGUAACCAUGCACGUAUUGACGGUACCUGGUCAGAAAGCCACGGCUAACUACGUG